CGGACCGGCGCACGGUGAGUAACGCGUAUGCAACCUACCUAUCAGAGGGGAAUAACCCGGCGAAAGUCGGACUAAUACCGCAUAAAACAGGGGUUCCACAUGGAAAUAUUUGUUAAAGAUUUAUCGCUGAUAGAUGGGCAUGCGUUCCAUUAGAUAGUUGGUGAGGUAACGGCUCACCAAGUCUACGAUGGAUAGGGGUUCUGAGAGGAAGGUCCCCCACACUGGUACUGAGACACGGACCAG
rnacentral:rRNA from 1 species